GCCGUCUCCCAGCGCUGGGGUGGCCUCGAGGACCGCUCCUCUCCGGAUGGGGCGCGACCUCGAGAAGGAGAAGGGCGCAGCGGCGCGAGGAAGGUGGGGCCGCCGCGACCGGGGACGAAGGCCCCCAGAGCGGGAGGUCCCGGAGCCAGGCACGCGGGAGGGGGCGGGCGCGGGGACCCAGCCGCCGGGAAGCCGCCGCCCCGCCCCGCCCCGGGCCGCGGGUCCGCCGGCUCGCCAGCCGCGGCGCAGGCGUGUGCGGGCGGGGGCAGCGCGGCCCUCCCCGCUAGCCGAGCGGCGCUCCCGCCCCGUCGCCUCGCGCCCGCGCCGCCGAGCCCGGCCAGCACCGUCGCGGCACCAUGCGGAGGGUGAGUGUGCCCGCCUCGCUCCCGCGAGCGGCCCGGGAGCGUGAGAGCGCGUCCCUCCCGCCCCGCUCCGGGGCGACGGGGGAGCCGGGCGGGAAGGGCAGAGGGCGGGCGCGGCGCGUCUCGCGGGGCCGCGGCCGCAGCGUGGGCGUGCCGAGGGGGGCGGCGCCCUGCGGCCGGCGUGGGGGUACACGCGGGACCGUGGGGUCCCUCUUCGCCUGAGGGCAGCGGUCUCAUCGGUUGCCGGCGGCCGCGGGGACACGUCGAGAGCUGUGUCAGCGCCUCCCCGAGGCCGAGGACCCGGAGCCUAAAUUCCAGGAGGAUAAUGGUCAUCCACAGCCAAGAAGGAAAGACCUGAGACAUGGAAUCAGCGAUUGCAGCCCUUCAAUGUGAGUCAGCAGGCCCCAAGAAAGGAGAAUGCCUGCCACCUGGCCUUUAUUUGUCUGCAGCCACUCCAGCCGCUCCCUGUGCACCUCUCCCCUGGUCUCUUUACUACAAGCCUAGCAGAGCAGUGAGAAGACUCUUGAGAGUCCCUUGGCCUGCAAGGACAUCAAACCAGUCAAUCCUAAAGGAAAUCAGUCCUGAAUAUUCAUUGGAAGGACUGAUGCUGAAGCUCCAAUACUUUGGCCGCCUGAUGCAAAGAGCCGACUCAUUGGAAAAGACCCUGAUGCUGGGAAAGACUGAAGGUAGGAGAAGGGGGUCCAUAGAGGAUGAGGUGGUUGGAUAGUAUCACCAACUCAAUGCACAUGAGUUUGAACAAGCUCUGGGAGUUGGUGAUGGACAGGGAGGCCUGGCGUGCUGCAGUCCAUGGGGUCACACAGAGUCGGACAUGACUGAGUGACUAAACUGAGCAGAGCAGUAGCCUCCUAGCUGGUAACUGUUUCGUUUGUGUUAAUUUAUCUGGUCAUGCCACGUGGCAUGUGGGAUCUUAGUUCCCUGACUAGGGAGGACUUCCACCUCUCUGGGGUGGAAGUGCAGAUUCUUAACCGCUGGACCACCAGGAAAGUCCCGGGGUUGUUAAAUGAUAUUCUCCACAAAAAUGCAGAACUCUAUGAGGAGCAGAGUUUUUCUGUAAAGAUAUGUCUUUCUCACAGUGGAACAGCCUUUUCAUUUAUUAAAGGACACUUAAUAACCUCAGAGCAUUUGCUUUUGGAUUACAUUACUGGCUUGGAGAGCUA
rnacentral:lncRNA from 1 species